ensembl:rRNA 5S_rRNA 5S ribosomal RNA
UUUGCAUCCGAAACCACCUUGAAUGUGCCUAAUCUUGUCUGAUCUCAGAGGCUAAGCAGGGCUGGGCCUGACUAGUGCUUGGAUGGGAAA